rnacentral:rRNA from 1 species
GAUGAACGCUGGCGGCGUGCCUAAUACAUGCAAGUCGAGCGAACGGACGAGAAGCUUGCUUCUCUGAUGUUAGCGGCGGACGGGUGAGUAACACGUGGAUAACCUACCUAUAAGACUGGUAUAACUUCGGGAAACCGGAGCUAAUACCGGAUAAUAUUUUGAACCGCAUGGUUCAAAAGUGAAAGACGGUCUUGCUGUCACUUAUAGAUGGAUCCGCGCUGCAUUAGCUAGUUGGUAAGGUAACGGCUUACCAAGGCAACGAUGCAUAGCCGACCUGAGAGGGUGAUCGGCCACACUGGAACUGAGACACGGUCCAGGCUCCUACGGGAGGCAGCAGUAGGGAAUCUUCCGCAAUGGGCGAAAGCCUGACGGAGCAACGCCGCGUGAGUGAUGAAGGUCUUCGGAUCGUAAAACUCUGUUACUAGGGAAGAACAUAUGUGUAAGUAACUGUGCACAUCUUGACGGUACCUAAUCAGAAAGCCACGGCUAACUACGUG